GGGGUCCCUUCGCUAAGCCGGCAGCCAGCCAGGUAAAGCGAUCCCAGUUGCCUGCCUGCCUGCCUGGCUCCCACUUACAGCUCACGCCGCGUGCCACCUGGGUCGUCGCAGGAGAGCCGGAGGAGGAGCAGCAGCUGCAGCGGAUGGCCUCUUGCAGAGAAAUGCAUACAGCAAACUGAGCAGAGACUUCAGCAAUUGUAAGAUACCAUCAACAUCCACAGGAGAGAUACUGUGGUAGAGCUGGAUAGGGCCAAUUGCUCUCCCCUUGCUAAAUGUAAGAGAAUCAUCACUUCAAACCGUGCCUCUUUGCUCAUCUGGCAAGUACUCUAUCCACAAGAACCCACGAAGU